GAAUAACUACACAUAACCCCUGAUAACAGAAAAAGACAUUUCCAAUGGAGUCUACUGGGGAAGCCAGCGUGCAUUAUGACCGCUGGAGUGAGAAUAACAUCAACAUGAAUGUGGAAAGUUCUCAGUCUACCACCAUGAGGAUCUACAACAGAGUAUGUGUUGGAACGACUGGGAUUGCGCUACGGGCAGCAGGAGUAGUGUGCGCACUGGUGGUCUUUUACAUUAUAGGUUAUGCGACAGGAUACUAUGUCCAUCGGUGCCCAUUGUGAAGGCCCUGUCAAAAAAGAAGAUUUCUUGAAAUUUUGUGAAAUCGACCUCUUGCACAUUGAUAAUGAGAGGAGUGUGUGCAGAAUGCAGAAUGAUGAGA